UACGAAGGGGGCUAGCGUUGCUCGGAAUCACUGGGCGUAAAGGGUGCGUAGGCGGGUCUUUAAGUCAGAGGUGAAAUCCUGGAGCUCAACUCCAGAACUGCCUUUGAUACUGAGGAUCUUGAGUUCGGGAGAGGUGAGUGGAACUGCGAGUGUAGAGGUGAAAUUCGUAGAUAUUCGCGAAGAACACCAGUGGCGAAGGCGGCUCACUGGCCCGAUACUGACGCUGAGGCACGAAAGCGUG
rnacentral:rRNA from 1 species